GCGUCCGUAGCCGGUUUAAUAAGUCUCUGGCGAAAUCCUGCAGCUUAACGUGUGGGAAUUGCUGGAGAUACUAUUAGACUUGAGACCGGGAGAGGUUAGAGGUACUCCCAGGGUAGAGGUGAAAUUCUGUAAUCCUGGGAGGACCGCCUGUUGCGAAGGCGUCUAACUGGAACGGUUCUGACGGUGAGGGACGAAAGUUAGGGGCGCGAACCGGAUUAGAUACCCGGGUAGUCCUAACUGUAAACGAUGCGGACUUGGUGUUGGGGUGGCUUUGAGCUGCUUCAGUGCCGAAGGGAAGCUGUUAAGUCCGCCGCCUGGGAAGUACGGUCGCAAGGCUGAAACUUAAGGAAUUGGCGGGGGAGCACCACAACGCGUGGAGCCUGCCGGUUUAAUUGGAUUCAACGCCGGACAUCUCACCAGAGGCGACAGCUGUAUGAUAGCCAGGUUGAUGACUUUGCUUGACUAGCUGAGGAGUGGUGCAUGG
rnacentral:rRNA from 1 species